rnacentral:rRNA from 1 species
GAUGAACGCUAGCGGGAGGCCUAACACUUGCAAGCCGAGCGGUAUUUCUUCUUCGGGAGAGAGAGAGCGGCGUACGGGUGCGGAACACGUGUGCAACCUGCCUUUAUCUAGAGGAUAGCCUUUCGAAAGGAAGAUUAAUACUCUAUAAUAUAUUAAUUGGCAUCAAUUGAUAUUGAAAACUCCGGUGGAUAGAGAUGGGCACGCGCAAGAUUAGCUAGUUGGUGAGGUAACGGCUCACCAAGGCAAUGAUCUUUAGGGGGCCUGAGAGGGUGAUCCCCCACACUGGUACUGAGACACGGACCAGACUCCUACGGGAGGCAGCAGUGAGGAAUAUUGGUCAAUGGGUGCAAGCCUGAACCAGCCAUCCCGCGUGAAGGAUUAAGGUCCUAUGGAUUGUAAACUUCUUUUGUAUAGGGAUAAACCUACCCUCGUGAGGGUAGCUGAAGGUACUAUACGAAUAAGCACCGGCUAACUCCGUGCCAGCCGCCGCUGUAAGAC